AUGGAAGAACCGGGAUGGGAGAAUCGGGUGGCCCAGUUGCUCAAUUUAUGGGAGAUCCGGGUCGCGGUCCUUUCGAGCUUCGUCGCACAUCUUCUACUCGUGCUCCUCUCCAGCAUCCGUCGGCGUAAAGCCUCUGGAGUGCUGAUGCUCAUCCUUUGGCUGGCGUACCAGUUCUCCAGCUGGGUCGCUCCAUACACUCUCAGCAACCUGUCCCUCAGCAACACUUCGUCGUGGAGGCAGCAGCUGGUGGCCUUCUGGACGACGUUCCUCCUGCACCAUCUCGGCGGCGCUGAUAACAUCAGCGCCUUCUCCCUGGAGGACAAUAAGCUCUCUGCACGCGAAGCACUUAAUGUCAUCUCCCGGGUUGCUGGAGCCAGCUAUGUGCUAUACAAGCAUGUGUACAUUGGUGGUGGAGGCGGGACUUUGAUCCAGGUGUCCAUCAUCAUUUUCGCCAUGGGUGCUGCCAAAGCAGCGAAGGCGAUUGGAGUGGAAGAUGUUUGGAAUGAAUACCAGCACUCCAAAGGACACAAGUUUUCACAGGAUGAUGUCAAGCGAGUGGUGUUCACAAGGGUAAACAAAGUUCUGAGGUCAACAUAUGAGGAUGACAAGGAUGGCCGCUAUCCCAUGGAGAACAAAAUGAUGUUCUGGGGUCAAUUGACAACCAAGAUGCGCCCGAAGGAACUGAAAAGAUUUCGUCUGGCAUUUGGUCGUGAGUUCCAGGAGGACAUCCUUGUCUGGCACAUUGCCACCCAAAUUUUCCUCGUCUGUCGCAGCGAUGAGCAGUUGGUGAUCCAUGACAAGAAUGCAGUUACACAUGCAAAGGCGAUUGAGGCAAUGUCUAAGUACCUCAUGUUCCUGACGGUUGUGCGCCCAUACAUGCUACCCGGUUUUACACUCCGCAGCCUGGACGAGGUAACCCUCAAAGCUUUAAGAGACGUAUGGAACAAGUCUGAGAUGUCAGACAUUGGUUCUAGUUGGACCACUGGAGAGAAGAAGCUUUCUAGGACCCUUGUCAAUAGGAAGGAAGACGACGAGUGGGGUUUCGGAAAUAGGGGAACUCGUCUGGUCUCAGACGGGGUUAAUAUUGCAGUGAAGCUGCUUACGGCUGAUCGUUCAGAGAUGCCGAAACUGCUGGAGCUUGUCUUCAACAUUUGGGUGGAUAAGCUGCUGUAUGCAGCCACCCGAUGCAGCAGGGAAUCGCAUGCCAGGCAGCUCGGCCAUGGCGGUGGCCUCACGACCAUCGUGUGGAUUAUGGCAGAGCAUGCUGGCCCGUUUCAGAUUGGCCAAGAUGGUCCAGAUGAAAAAGAGGAAUCCGGUGGCAUUGGAGAUUUGGUUGGUGGCAUUGGAGAUUUGGUCGGACUGGCGUUUGACCUCCCCAAGCCAUCACCGCCAGACCCUGAACCAGCCAAGGAGAUGCCCCAGCCACACAAACCUAUGUGGCCUCAACCGCCAUCACCAUGGGAUCCGAUGUAUAGGCCAAUGUUUGGAGACGGCGGACAUAUGAUGCCGCCACCAAAAAAGGAGGAGCCUAAGCCCCCUCCCCCUGAACCCAUGCCACCACCGAAGGGUCUGCCCCGGCCGGAGUCCGGUGAACGUGAAGACACCAAACCUACACGGGCUGGAAGGUUAGGUGUAUGGCAGAUUGAUUAUUUGGUAACCAAUUAUGCGGCUGUGGCAUAA
rnacentral:rRNA from 1 species